CUCAAGUCUUAGACGUGAUCUGGUCUGACUCUGAAGCUAAGCAGGUCUGGACCUCAUCAGAACUUGGAUGGGAGACCACUGGGAAUACCAGGUCACAGUAGGGG
rnacentral:rRNA from 1 species